CCUGGCUCUUUCACUUGCGAGCUUCGCUUUUUCUCUCCUUUCUGAGUUCUGGUUCUGAUUUCAUCCAGGAUCCAGGAUGACAAUCCGACACCAAGGCCAGCAGUACAGGCCGAGGAUGGCAUUUCUCCCGAAGAGGCUCCAUUCGACCAGGACUCCAGGAGUUCACAGAAUGAACCUGGAUUGCCCUCCUUUCUUUCCCUGGCUCACUUUGGUGGACCUCUGCUGCCACUUCCCAGGAUCAAUCCCUCCACCAACACUAGAGACUAUUACUCACAUUUUACAGUUCCAGGCCCUGUAAAGUGAACAAACUCCACCAACCACAUCCUUGCGAAACCAGAUGAAGUGACUCCACUGCUGACAUUAGGACCAGAUGCAGAGAUCAACUACCUCCUACCCGGCGGCAAUCAAUCACAGAGACCACGAUCCAACCUCCCUUAGUCUCCAUGACUUCUGAUUUUUCCUCUCUAUAACCCAUGCCUGGAAACCGUCGCUGAGCCAGGUCUUUGAG